rnacentral:rRNA from 1 species
GGGAAAUUCAUUCGUGUCUCGGCUGACGAGACGGCGUCGGGCGUGCGUGCGACGGUGGAAGGGCGUUAUCCGUUUCGGCGGUAUCGUCCGUUCCGACCGCGCCGUGCGUCCUUCGAGCCGUCCCCGAACCGUGCACUUUUCCCCUAGUAGGACGUCGCGAUCCGUCGGGCGUCGGUCUAAGGCACGCGGUGGAGCUCGCGCGGGCGUCUUACGACGUUCGAGCCGCGCGAACCCGCGUCGUCCCGACCGACACGCUCGACGGUAUACCGAAAGAGGCGCGAGGCCGCUAUCCAUUUUAUAGAGAGCGUCCGUAUCGACGGCAAGCGCGUCCGGCGCGUACGAAGAGCGGACUUAGUGCCGAUCCCGUCCCCGGACGACUGUUGGCCGUCGGAUAUCUCGGACAGACCUCGAAAUCGGAACGCGCACGCAUCCGUGUGUGUGCGUUCCGUAUCGCCGAUCGGCGACGCUAUAGCUUUGGGUAAUCUCAGGACCCGUCUUGAA